rnacentral:rRNA from 1 species
GAUCAUGGCUCAGGAUGAACGCUAGCUACAGGCUUAACACAUGCAAGUCGAGGGGCAGCAUGGUCUUAGCUUGCUAAGGCCGAUUGGCGACCGGCGCACGGGUGAGUAACACGUAUCCAACCUGCCGUCUACUCUUGGGACAGCCUUCUGAAAGGAAGAUUAAUACAAGAUGGCAUCAUGAGUCCACAUGUUCACAUGAUUAAAGGUAUUCCGGUAGACGAUGGGG